GAAAUGCGAUACGUAAUGUGAAUUGCAGAAUUCAGUGAAUCAUCGAAUCUUUGAACGCACCUUGCGCCCCUUGGCAUUCCGAGGGGCACACCCGUUUGAGUGUCGUGAAAUCAUCAAAAACCCUUUUUUCGCUUUGCUGAAAAGGAUUUUUGGACUUGGAGGUUCAAUGCUCGCCUUUCACUUUUGAAAGCGAGCUCCUCUCAAAUAUAUUAGUGGGGUCCGCUUUGCUGAUCCUUGACGUGAUAAGAUGUUUCUACGUUUUGGAUUUAGCACUGUCCCUUUGGACGCCUGCUCCUAACCGUCUUAAGGACAACGGUGGUGCUCCGGCCGUAAGGCUGGACCCACAAAAGAAAACCUUGACCUCAAAUCGGGUGAGACUACCCGCUGAACUUAA
rnacentral:rRNA from 1 species